UGAGAGGAUGAUCAGCCACACUGGAAUUGAGACACGGUCCAGACUCCUACGGGAGGCAGCAGUGGGGAAUUUUGCGCAAUGGGGGAAACCCUGACGCAGCAACGCCGCGUGAGUGAUGAAGGCCUUCGGGUCGUAAAGCUCUGUCUAGAGGGAAGAAAUGAUAGUCGGUUAAUACCCGGUUUUCUUGACGGUACCUCUGAAGGAAGCACCGGCUAACUCCGUGCCAGCAGCCGCGGUAAU
rnacentral:rRNA from 1 species